rnacentral:rRNA from 1 species
AUUGAACGCUGGCGGCAGGCCUAACACAUGCAAGUCGAGCGGGGUUUUCGGACCUAGCGGCGGACGGGCGAGUAAUGCGUAGGAAGCUACCCGCUAGCGGGGGACACCAGAUGGAAACGACUGUUAAUACCGCAUAAUGUCUACUGACCAAAUUGUGGGACCUUCGGGCCACAUGCUAGCGGACGCUCCUACGUGGGAUUGGGUAGUUGGUGGGGGAAUGGCUAACCAAGGCGACGAUCCCUAGCUGGUGUGAGAGGAUGAUCAGCGACACUGGAACUGAGACACGGUCCAGACUGCUACGGGAGGCAGCAGUGGGGAAUAUUGGACAAUGGGCGCAAGCAUGAUCCAGCCAUGCCGCGUGUGUGAAGAAGGCCUUCGGGUUGUAAAGCACUUUCAGUAGGGAGGAAGGGUGUUGUGUUAAUAGCACAGCAUUUUGACGUUACCUACAGAAGAAGCACCGGCUAACUCUGUGCCAGCCGCCGCCGUAAAAC